rnacentral:rRNA from 1 species
GACAGAGGCCUCGAGCGUUAGGCGGAAUCACUGGGCUUAAAGCGUGUGUAGGCGGAUCGUUAAGUACCUUGUGAAAUCCCACGGCUCAACCCGUGGAACGGCUGGGUAUACUGGCGGUCUUGGGCCAUUCAGGGGCGACUGGAACAAGCGGUGGAGCGGUGAAAUGCGUAGAUAUCACUUGGAACGCCAAUGGUGAAGACAGCUCGCUGGGGGUGUCCUGACGCUGAGGCGCGAAAGCCAGGGGAGCGAACGGG